rnacentral:rRNA from 1 species
AUAGUUGCUAGGAUUAGACCCGAAACCGAGUGAUCUAGCCAUGGGCAGGUUGAAGGUGAGGUAACACUUACUGGAGGACCGAACCGACUAAUGUUGAAAAAUUAGCGGAUGACUUGUGGCUAGGGGUGAAAGGCCAAUCAAACUCGGAGAUAGCUGGUUCUCCCCGAAAGCUAUUUAGGUAGCGCCUCGGACGAAUACUACUGGGGGUAGAGCACUGUUAAGGCUAGGGGGUCAUCCCGACUUACCAACCCUUUGCAAACUCCGAAUACCAGUAAGUACUAUCCGGGAGACACACGGCGGGUGCUAACGUCCGUCGUGAAGAGGGAAACAACCCAGACCGCCAGCUAAGGUCCCAAAGUUAUAGCUAAGUGGGAAACGAUGUGGGAAGGCUCAGACAGCCAGGAUGUUGGCUUAGAAGCAGCCAUCAUUUAAAGAAAGCGUAAUAGCUCACUGGUCGAGUCGGCCUGCGCGGAAGAUUUAACGGGGCUAAGCUAUACACCGAAGCUGCGGCAAUGAAGUUUACUUCAUUGGGUAGGGGAGCGUUCUGUAAGCCGUUGAAGGUGAAUCGUAAGGUUUGCUGGAGGUAUCAGAAGUGCGAAUGCUGACAUGAGUAACGAUAAAGGGAGUGAAAAACUCCCUCGCCGGAAGAUCAAGGGUUCCUGUCCAACGUUAAUCGGGGCAGGGUAAGUCGACCCCUAAGGCGAGGCCGAAAGGCGUAGUCGAUGGGAAACGGGUUAAUAUUCCCGUACUUCUUAUAAUUGCGAUGGAGGGACGGAGAAGGCUAGGUGAGCCUGGCGACGGUUGUCCAGGUCCAAGUAUGUAGGCUGAUGGUUUAGGCAAAUCCGGACCAUCUUAAGGCUGAGAUACGAUGUCGAGUCACUACGGUGACGAAGUCAUUGAUGCCAUGCUUCCGGGAAAAGCUUCUAAGCUUCAGAUUAUAAGAAAUCGUACCCCAAACCGACACAGGUGAUCAGGUAGAGAAUACCAAGGCGCUUGAGAGAACUCGGGUGAAGG